rnacentral:rRNA from 1 species
AUUGAACGCUGGCGGCAGGCCUAACACAUGCAAGUCGAACGAGUGGCGGACGGGUGAGUAAUGUCUGGGAAACUGCCCGAUGGAGGGGGAUAACUACUGGAAACGGUAGCUAAUACCGCAUAGCAGCGGAUGUGCCCAGAUGGGAUUAGCUAGUAGGUGGGGUAACGGCUCACCAAGGCGCCGAUCCCUAGCUGGUCUGAUAGGAAGACCGGCCACCCUGGAACUGAUACACGGUCCUGACUCCUCCGGGCGGCAGCAGUGGGGAAUCUUGCACAAUGGGCUGAAGCCUGAUGCAGCCAUGCCGCGUGUCUGAAGACGGCCUUCGGGUUGUAAAGCACUUUCAGCUAGUAGGCGUUACCCGCAGAAUAAGCACCGGCUAACUCCGUGCCAGCAGCCGCGGUAAUAC